GACGAACGCUGGCGGCGUGCCUAAUACAUGCAAGUCGACCUUAGUGGCGCACGGGUGAGUAACACGUGGGUAAACUGCCCAUCAGAAGGGGAUAACACUUGGAAACCGGUGCUAAUACCGUAUACUGAUGGAUUGUCCGGCGGUGCAUUAGCUAGUUGGUGAGGUAACGGCUCUCAAAGGCCAAGAUGCAUAGCCGACCUGCGAUGGAGAUCGGCCACAUUGGGACUGAGACACGGCCCAAACUCCUACGAGAGGCAGCAGGAGGGAAUCUUCGGCAAUGGACGAAAGUCUGACCGAGCAACGCCGCGUGAGUGAAGAAGGUUUUCGGAUCGUAAAACUCUGUUUUUAGAGAAACGGUAUCUAACCAGAAAGCCACGGCUAACUACGUGCCAGCAGCCGCUGUAAUUG
rnacentral:rRNA from 1 species